rnacentral:tRNA from 1 species
GGAGACGUUUGGGGUCUGGUGGCCUCCACGGCCUUCAAAGCCGAUGGCGCCGAGCAACUCGGUGCGGCGGGUUCGAUUCCCGUCCGUCUCCG